CAGUAGCCGCGGUAAUACGAAGGGGGCUAGCGUUGUUCGGAAUUAUUGGGCGUAAAGGGCGCGUAGGCGGUUUGGCAAGUUUGGUGUGAAAUCUUCGGGCUCAACUCGAAGUCUGCAUCGAAAACUGCCGGGCUUGAGUGUGGGAGAGGUGAGUGGAAUUUCCGGUGUAGCGGUGAAAUGCGUAGAUAUCGGAAGGAACACCUGUGGCGAAAGCGGCUCACUGGACCACAACUGACGCUGAGGCGCGAAAGCUAGGGGAGCAAACAGGAUUAGAGACCCCUGUAGUCCCUGUCUCUUAUAC
rnacentral:rRNA from 1 species